rnacentral:rRNA from 1 species
GAUGAACGCUGGCGGCGUGCUUAACACAUGCAAGUCGAACGGAAAGGCCCAAGCUUGCUUGGGUACUCGAGUGGCGAACGGGUGAGUAACACGUGGGUGAUCUGCCCUGCACUUCGGGAUAAGCCUGGGAAACUGGGUCUAAUACCGGAUAGGACCACUUCUUGGAUGUUGUGGUGGAAAGUUUUUUCGGUGUGGGAUGAGCUCGCGGCCUAUCAGCUUGUUGGUGGGGUAAUGGCCUACCAAGGCGUCGACGGGUAGCCGGCCUGAGAGGGUGUACGGCCACAUUGGGACUGAGAUACGGCCCAGACUCCUACGGGAGGCAGCAGUGGGGAAUAUUGCACAAUGGGCGCAAGCCUGAUGCAGCGACGCCGCGUGGGGGAUGACGGCCUUCGGGUUGUAAACUCCUUUCGCUAGGGACGAAGCGUUUUGUGACGGUACCUGGAGAAGAAGCACCGGCUAACUACGU